rnacentral:lncRNA from 1 species
GCCGAUGAUAGGUUCGUAAAAAUCUUGUAUCCUAAAAUUAAUGUGGUUAUUUCUUCCACUGAUUGGUGGAUUGAUAUAGGUGCAAACAUGCACAUAAGUUUUGAAUGCUCUCUUUGUGACCUAUCGGAUAUAGAACUUAUGAGCGCAAUUAUGGGCAAUGAUAUGGUUGCCAAAGUACCGGGAGAAUGAAAGAUGGAUCUCAAAUUUAUUUAUGAAAAAAUCUUAUCUC